AAAUCAUGGUGGGGACAAUUCUUAAACAUUUCUUCAAAUCUCACCCAACCCUCAUAAAUUCAUUCUCCUACAAAUUGAGCAAAACACAUAAUAUCAUUUUUAAGCUU